rnacentral:rRNA from 1 species
GUGAACACCAAAUGUAUUGUGGUCAAGCUAAUAAGGGCUGAUGGUGGAUACCUAGGCACACAGAG